UUUGAUCCGGAACCGUCAAAAUUUCUAAAUAUUGUCCAAUUUUUUUUGUGUAACUGAAGAUGGUUGUUGUUGAUGAUGUCUUUUCGUACAAUUUUUCUUGUUCAUAUUGAAUAUAUUCACAAGUAUUAAUAUCAUCGAUAAAAGUUAGUCUUUUAGCAAUAUUUUAUGUUUCUCUUUUACUUUCUUGUUCUAAUCUAAUGUAUUACAAAUAUUAAUAUCACAUGAUUUCAACAAUUUGUAUCUUUAAUCUACAAAUUAAAAUGAGAAGAGCCAUUUUUACUUUGAAAUGCACUAGUAUAUCAUAUAUGCAUUACGAAAAUUACUUUAUGAAAUAAUAUGAUUUUUACUUGAAGUUUAAUAUUAAUUAAGUUAUUUUGUUUAAAAUUUUAUAUUUUAUAUUUAAAUAUAAUAUUUUAUAUUUAAAUAUAAUAUUUUAUUAAUUAAUAAUGGGGAAUUGCCACUAAUACCACUUUCCUAAUACCACUUUUCAACUUUACACUUUUCAAAUUUACCAUUAAAAUUUUAAUGGCUAAAGUACCAUUAUACCCCUCAUUUCAUUAAUUUAACCUAGAUCUAUUCUUCUCCAAAUGUCUGUCACGAGAUGAAAAUGAGAUCAAAUUGAGACGAGCUCCAACGAGAUCUCCGGCAAACUCGGCGAUCUCCGGCGAAUUCGGCGAUCUUCGGCGAACUUGGCGAUCUCCGGCGAACUCGACGAUCUCCGACGAACUCGACCGGAUUGGGAGAGCGUGGCGGCGAGUGGACAUCCCGCCGUUCCUCUGCCGGCAUUAUGUAGUCGUAGUAAUCCUCCGAUGCUAAAUCGGUCACGUUCGUCACGAAUCGCAUGCCGAGAAGUUCUCCGGCAAAGCUGACAGACUCGGCAAGCUCAGACGAACGAGACGAUCUCUCUCCCAACGCCUAAGAAACACUAACAAAGAGAAUUACAAAUGUGUGUUGUCAGCUUUUGGAUUUAAAGGAUGUUGUGGAGAAUAUGUGUGGUGAUAUGCAUAUCUAAGUAUCUCACUUCCUUAAGGUAAUACAAUGCUACUAUUUGUAGUUUGACUAGCAAUGUUUUAGUAUGUGCAGUAUAUGAGGUGGAACGUUGGUGUUUUGGUAGUGUAACGUUCUAUUUAUACUUUAUGAGUUUAUUUUUUAUGUCUUGUUUUGUGUAUAAUAUCUACAGAAGCAGUGAAGAUGAAUGAUGAGUUUGUUGAGUUACGAAAGUAUACUAUUUUUGAAUCUUAUUUUUGGAAGUGAAUGCUGAUGCGUAGAAAUAAUAUGUGACUGGCUUUUGUUCAGAUUUUGAAAAUUUACGAGGUUGGUGAGCUAUUUGAAGAGGCAAGAGAGACUCUGAAGAAGAAUGUGGUUUGUACUAUCAAAGAAUUACGUAUUUAUAACGCUUUAUAAAAGUUGCAGAGUUGGCUUCUUAGUACAUUCUUCUCUCUCAUCUUAUUUAGACAUCUCUUAUACUAAAACAAUUGUAUCUCUCUUUUAGUAGUUGCAUAAUUGAAGAUAUUAGUUGGACAUGUAAGUGAGUUUGGUUUCAAUUGUUUCUUUUAUAGAAGAGUGAGAUAUGGAGAA